CGGGGUCCUAACCAUGAGCGUCGUAGCGAUACCACUUGGUUCGUGUUCCGACGCGUGAGCUCCUGUGGCGCCGUUCGAUUCUCAGAAGGGGAGUUGUAUGGACGGGGGCUAAUACGGUAUCCGCCCUUUGUGGCCGAGAUUAUUCGGAAUAGGAUCGGCCAUCUUCGGGCUUUGCGCUUAGGGAGGAAGUGGCCCCCGAAGAGGUCGCUGUAGAGGUAAAUGCUCAGCAUGGCGACCAUCCCUGGCUGGUCUCAGAGGAUGAUCAUAAACACCGGGACUGAGACACGGCCCGGACUCCUACGGGAGGCAGCAGUGGGGAAUCUUGGACAAUGGGGGCAACCCUGAUCCAGCCAUGCCGCGUGUGUGAAGAAGGCCUUCGGGUUGUAAAGCACUUUCAGCAGGGAGGAAGGCUUACCCCUAAUACGGGUGAGUACUUGACGUUACCUGCAGAAGAAGCACCGGCUAAUUUCGUGCCAGCAGCCGCGGUAAUACGAAAGGUGCAAGCGUUAAUCGGAAUUACUGGGCGUAAAGCGCGCGUAGGCGGUGUGUUAAGUCGGAUGUGAAAGCCCAGGGCUCAACCUUGGAAUUGCAUCCGAUACUGGCACGCUAGAGUGCAGUAGAGGGAGGUGGAAUUUCCGGUGUAGCGGUGAAAUGCGUAGAGAUCGGAAGGAACACCAGUGGCGAAGGCGGCCUCCUGGACUGACACUGACGCUGAGGUGCGAAAGCGUGGGGAGCAAACAGGAUUAGAUACCCUGGUAGUUCACGCUGUAAACGAUGUCUACUAGCCGUCGGGGUCCUUAGUGACUUUGGUGGCGCAGCUAACGCGAUAAGUAGACCGCCUGGGGAGUACGGCCGCAAGGUUAAAACUCAAAUGAAUUGACGGGGGCCCGCACAAGCGGUGGAGCAUGUGGUUUAAUUCGAUGCAACGCGAAGAACCUUACCAGGUCUUGACAUCCUCGGAACUUGGCAGAGAUGCCUUGGUGCCUUCGGGAGCCGAGUGACAGGUGCUGCAUGGCCGUCGUCAGCUCGUGUCGUGAGAUGUUGGGUUAAGUCCCGUAACGAGCGCAACCCUUGUCCUUAGUUGCCAGCACGUCAUGGUGGGAACUCUAGGGAGACUGCCGGUGACAAACCGGAGGAAGGUGGGGACGACGUCAGGUCAUCAUGGCCCUUACGACCUGGGCUACACACGUGCUACAAUGGCUGGUACAGAGGGUUGCGAAGUGACGAGGAGCAGGUAUUCCCCAAAAACCAAAUGUAGUCCGGAUCGGAUUCUGCAACUAGAUUUCUGAAGUUUCAAUCGCCCUAAUCGCGGAUCAGAAUGCCGGGGAAAUACUGAGUCUGGUCUUUCUCCACCGCCCGUCCCCCCAUUAUCAUGUCCGAAGCCGGCCCCCGAAGUAAAAAA
rnacentral:rRNA from 2 species